rnacentral:rRNA from 1 species
GAUGAACGCUGGCGGCGUGCCUAAUACAUGCAAGUCGAGCGAACAGACGAGACUGCUUGCACUCUCUGACGUUGGCGGCGGGCGGGUGAGUAACACGUAGGCAACCUACCUCUUAGGCUGGGCUAACUGCGGGAAACCCGAGCAAAUACUGGAUAAUAUUUAGCUUCGGAUGGAGCAAGAGUGAAAGACGGUUCUGCUGUGGACUCUAGGUGUAUCCGCGGGGUAGUAGCGAGGUGGCGUGGUAACGGCUUGACAAGGCGACGAUACGUAAGCGAAGUGAGAGAGUGAUCGGCGGCACUAGAAGUGAGACACGGCCAAGACUACUGCGGGAGGCAGCAGUAGGGAAUCUGCCGCAAUGGACGAAAGUCUGACGGAGCAGUGCCGCGUGAGUGGAGAAGGUGUUCGGAUCGUAAAACUCUGUUGUAAGUGAAGAACAGGUACGUCAGUAACUGAACGGAGCUUGACGGUAACGGAUCAGAAAGCCCCGGCUAACUACGUG